GGGUUGUGAGGUUAAGCGACUAAGCGUACACGGUGGAUGCCCUGGCAGUCAGAGGCGAUGAAGGACGUGCUAAUCUGCGAAAAGCGCCGGCGAGGUGAUAUGAACCUUUGACCCGGCGAUGUCCGAAUGGGGAAACCCAGUGCAAUCCGUUGCACUAUCGUUAACUGAAUACAUAGGUUAACGAGGCGAACCGGGGGAACUGAAACAUCUAAGUACCCCGAGGAAAAGAAAUCAACCGAGAUUCCCCCAGUAGCGGCGAGCGAACGGGGAGCAGCCCGGAGUCUGAAUCAGCUUGUGUGUUAGUGGAACGGUCUGGAAAGUCCGGCGAUACAGGGUGAUAGCCCCGUACACGAAAGCACACAUGCUGUGAACUCGAAGAGUAGGGCGGGACACGUGGUAUCCUGUCUGAAUAUGGGGGGACCAUCCUCCAAGGCUAAAUACUCCUGACUGACCGAUAGUGAACCAGUACCGUGAGGGAAAGGCGAAAAGAACCCCGGCGAGGGGAGUGAAAAAGAACCUGAAACCGUGUACGUACAAGCAGUGGGAGCCUCUUUAUGGGGUGACUGCGUACCUUUUGUAUAAUGGGUCAGCGACUUAUAUUCUGUAGCAAGGUUAACCGUAUAGGGGAGCCGAAGGGAAACCGAGUCUUAACUGGGCGUUAAGUUGCAGGGUAUAGACCCGAAACCCGGUGAUCUAGCCAUGGGCAGGUUGAAGGUUGGGUAACACUAACUGGAGGACCGAACCGACUAAUGUUGAAAAAUUAGCGGAUGACCUGUGGCUGGGGGUGAAAGGCCAAUCAAACCGGGAGAUAGCUGGUUCUCCCCGAAAGCUAUUUAGGUAGCGCCUCGUGAACUCAUCUUCGGGGGUAGAGCACUGUUUCGGCUAGGGGGCCAUCCCGGCUUACCAACCCGAUGCAAACUACGAAUACCGAAGAAUGUUAUCACGGGAGACACACGGCGGGUGCUAACGUCCGUCGUGAAGAGGGAAACAACCCAGACCGCCAGCUAAGGUCCCAAAGUCAUGGUUAAGUGGGAAACGAUGUGGGAAGGCACAGACAGCCAGGAUGUUGGCUUAGAAGCAGCCAUCAUUUAAAGAAAGCGUAAUAGCUCACUGGUCGAGUCGGCCUGCGCGGAAGAUGUAACGGGGCUAAACCAUGCACCGAAGCUGCGGCAGCGACGCUUAGGCGUUGUUGGGUAGGGGAGCGUUCUGUAAGCCGUUGAAGGUGUCCUGUGAGGGGUGCUGGAGGUAUCAGAAGUGCGAAUGCUGACAUAAGUAACGAUAAAGCGGGUGAAAAGCCCGCUCGCCGGAAGACCAAGGGUUCCUGUCCAACGUUAAUCGGGGCAGGGUGAGUCGACCCCUAAGGCGAGGCCGAAAGGCGUAGUCGAUGGGAAACAGGUUAAUAUUCCUGUACUUGGUGUUACUGCGAAGGGGGGACGGAGAAGGCUAUGUCAGCCGGGCGACGGUUGUCCCGGUUUAAGCAUGUAGGCGGAGGUUCCAGGUAAAUCCGGUACCUUGUUAACGCUGAGGUGUGAUGACGAGGCACUACGGUGCUGAAGUGAUAAAUGCCCUGCUUCCAGGAAAAGCCUCUAAGCAUCAGGUAACACGAAAUCGUACCCCAAACCGACACAGGUGGUCAGGUAGAGAAUACCAAGGCGCUUGAGAGAACUCGGGUGAAGGAACUAGGCAAAAUGGUGCCGUAACUUCGGGAGAAGGCACGCUGAUGUGUAGGUGAAGCCCCUGCGGGCGGAGCUGAAAUCAGUCGAAGAUACCAGCUGGCUGCAACUGUUUAUUAAAAACACAGCACUGUGCAAACACGAAAGUGGACGUAUACGGUGUGACGCCUGCCCGGUGCCGGAAGGUUAAUUGAUGGGGUUAGCGGCAACGCGAAGCUCUUGAUCGAAGCCCCGGUAAACGGCGGCCGUAACUAUAACGGUCCUAAGGUAGCGAAAUUCCUUGUCGGGUAAGUUCCGACCUGCACGAAUGGCGUAAUGAUGGCCAGGCUGUCUCCACCCGAGACUCAGUGAAAUUGAACUCGCUGUGAAGAUGCAGUGUACCCGCGGCAAGACGGAAAGACCCCGUGAACCUUUACUAUAGCUUGACACUGAACACUGGUCCUUGAUGUGUAGGAUAGGUGGGAGGCUUUGAAGCGUGGACGCCAGUCUGCGUGGAGCCAACCUUGAAAUACCACCCUUUAAUGGCUGGUGUUCUAACGUAGACCCGUAAUCCGGGUUGCGGACAGUGUCUGGUGGGUAGUUUGACUGGGGCGGUCUCCUCCCAAAGAGUAACGGAGGAGCACGAAGGUUGGCUAAUCCUGGUCGGACAUCAGGAGGUUAGUGCAAUGGCAUAAGCCAGCUUGACUGCGAGCGUGACGGCGCGAGCAGGUGCGAAAGCAGGUCAUAGUGAUCCGGUGGUUCUGAAUGGAAGGGCCAUCGCUCAACGGAUAAAAGGUACUCCGGGGAUAACAGGCUGAUACCGCCCAAGAGUUCAUAUCGACGGCGGUGUUUGGCACCUCGAUGUCGGCUCAUCACAUCCUGGGGCUGAAGUAGGUCCCAAGGGUAUGGCUGUUCGCCAUUUAAAGUGGUACGCGAGCUGGGUUUAGAACGUCGUGAGACAGUUCGGUCCCUAUCUGCCGUGGGCGCUGGAGAAUUGAGGGGGGCUGCUCCUAGUACGAGAGGACCGGAGUGGACGCAUCACUGGUGUUCGGGUUGUCAUGCCAAUGGCACUGCCCGGUAGCUAAAUGCGGAAGAGAUAAGUGCUGAAAGCAUCUAAGCACGAAACUUGCCCCGAGAUGAGUUCUCCCUGAGACUUUAAGUCUCCUGAAGGAACGUUGAAGACGACGACGUUGAUAGGUCGGGUGUGUAAGCGCAGCGAUGCGUUGAGCUAACCGAUACUAAUGAACCGUGAGGCUUAACCUUACAACGCCGAAGCUGUU
rnacentral:rRNA from 1 species